ACGUGUAAGACCAUGUCUGGGACAUCGGUAUCGUAUUUGAUUCAUGUAAGACCCUGUCUGGGACAGCAGCAUCGAUAUAAGAUAGCAUGUAAGACCACGUCUAGGACAUUGGCAUUGUACGAUAUAUGCGAUCAUUCGAGUAUGCUAUUCAAUUCUGAAUAGUUCAAUGGGCAAUGAUAAGUUGUGAUUGAAGGUGUAUAACAG
rnacentral:lncRNA from 1 species